GUCCACCUUCAAUAUGUGUUUUCCACAAAACAUGAGGAUUAGCUCCACCUGCAAAAAAAAAGUAAAACGCAAAAAAAUGGAUUUAAAAAAAAUAUUUAAAAAAAAGAUAUGUGAGACUGGGAGAUUCUGCAGUUGUCAAACUACGAGUAUGUGGGGGUCUGCCUUCCUGUGUGGAGUUUGCAUGUUCUCCCCAUGCCUGCGUGGGUUUUCUCCAGGUACUUCGAUUUCCUCCCACGUUCCAAAAAUAUGCAGGGCAGGUUAGUGGAAGACUCUAUAUUGCGCUCUUGGUGAUGUGAGCGCAAAUGCUUGUUCGUCUAUGUGUGCCCUGUGUUUGUCAGGAAACCGGUUCAGGGUGUAACCCGCCUAUUGUCCGAAGACAGCUGGGAUAGGCUCUAGCAACCCCCCCGCGACCCUUGUGAGGAUAUAUAUAAAUCAGCAUGUAUUGUAUAAAGUCCAUCAUAAUAUAGAAGAAUGGAUGGGUAACUAUUAGAGCUGUCGGUUUAGUGCUUUUUUUAUUGGCAUUUUACUUUGUUAACUGAUUUGUUAAGCGCUUUGUUACAGCUGCCACUGUUUUGAAAGCGCUAUAUAAAUCAGCAUGUAUUGUAUUGUAUUAAUUUAAAUGAAUUUUAACAGAUUAAUUUUUUUCUCACGAGAUUAAUGCGGCACACGUCACAAGCGGAUGUUACGGUGCUCUAUAAAUACACCAGAAACAAAACAA